GACGAACGUUGGCGGCGUGCUUAAUACAUGCAAGUCCACUGAAGCAGUGGUAGCAAUAUCGCUGUGGAGGUGGCGCACGGGUGAGUAACACGUAGGUAAUCUGCCUUCAGGUCUGGCAUAACUCCGGGAAACCGGGGCUAAUAGCAGAUGAUGCAGCGGCUCGACAUCGAGACAGUUGUUAAAGCUAUGGCGCCUGAAGAUGAGCCUGCGUCUGAUUAGCUAGUUGGCGGGGUAACGGCCCACCAAGGCAACGAUCAGUAGCUGGUCUGAGAGGAUGAUCAGCCACACUGGAACUGAGACACGGUCCAGACUCCUACGGGAGGCAGCAGUAAGGAAUAUUGCUCAAUGGGAGAAAUCCUGAAGCAGCAACGCCGCGUGAGGGACGAAGGGCUUUUGCUUGUAAACCUCUGUAGUGAGAGAAAAAAAUCCCAAUCUUUGGGACAUGAUGGUAUCCCAAAAGUAAGCCCCGGCUAACUACGUG
rnacentral:rRNA from 1 species